rnacentral:rRNA from 1 species
GCGACCCCAGGUCAGGCGGGUCUACCCGCUGAGUUUAAGCAUAUCAAUA